rnacentral:lncRNA from 10 species
GAGGGAGGAGGGAAGGAGAGGCUCCCUCAGAUGCUAGGUCUGAGCCUGGCUCCCCAGCACCCUGGAGGCCUGGCUUGCCAGCCCUGGCGCCUGCGCCUGCCCAGCUCCAGCCCCCACCCCAGCCUCUCCCUGACUGGCACCCAAGUUUAUAAGUGUUGCUUUUCUCCUAUUCUACUCAGGCCUGUGAUGGAAAAUCCUCGGGCUGGAAGUGAGCCCCGAAUCAAUAGUCCAUUCCAUUUAACAGGGUGGCUGUCACCAUAACGAGAUAAAAGUGGAUUAGCUUCUGCGCCGCUGCCGCUUCUACAGGGAGCCCAUCUGUUCCCUGCACAGCCGGCCUGGCUCAGAGUGGCCAUGCAACCCAGCCAGACCUGGCCAUGGGGGCCCCCACCAAGGUCUGGGAUGGGAAGGGUAAGGGACAAGAGUGGGAUCCAGAUGGGGCUUAGAAUGGGGCUCAGGAUGGAGUAGAUCAGGGUGUGCUCAGGAUGGAGAUGGGACAGGGAGGAGGACAGCAUGAGAUCAGGCCAGCUGUGAGCCUGUGCGUCCAAGCUGACAAUCUGAUGUGUCCUUCUGAGAAGUCUGUUCCCUCUUGGACCUCAAGUGUGGCUGAACCUCUGACAAUACAUGCAGGUGCCAAGACAUCCUGGCCUGGAAACCCUGGAGGCCACACAUAGUGUGUGAACUUAUUUCGAGGAAAAGCCCUCCCACUCCCCUAAGAACUGAAAGAGAGAAGAGGCUCUUGUUGCCAGCAAGAGGAAGGCAGGCUGGACAUCAGGAAGAACUUCCUCCUCAUAAAGUUUUGCCAAAGACUUAAUGGCUGGCCUGUCAAGAGCGGUGACAGAAGCUAUUAUGGAAACAAGAUGGGAAUAUUUUGGAGGCAGCAUCAACAGCACUGCCCAUUGCCAGGGCUCCAAGGACCAGAAGGAGGACAGUCAUACCUCCUGCCUGCCACCCCCAGGAAGGCCAUGUGCUCUGCCAGAGAGGUGCUGGGUCAUUGCGGAUUCAAGCCACUGACUGUGAAUUGAUCGCCUCUGAGGACGUUUUAAUUAACCGCCAGUUCCCAGAGCUGCCCCAUCCUUCCUUUCCCCAACCCCUCCCUGGUCUGCAGCCACUAUCGUCCCCAACACAGAAGCAAGAAGCAACCAGCCAACAGCGCAAUACAGUGAGAGGGACCGCUGGAGGAUUGUAGAUGGGGGACAAGCAGAGGAGAGGUUCCAGGACCCCGGUGGCAGCCUGAUCUGGCAGAUCUAGAUCUCUAAGGGGUCUUGCACUGGUCAUGGACUCAGGGCCUGAGAACCAGACCCAGUUCUGUAGCUGAUUGGUUACAUGAGCUUGGACAAACCCUUGGUUUUGAAAUGCCUCAACUUCUCACUCUAUAAAAUGGGAACAAGGCCAGGCGUGAUGGCUCAUGCCUGAAAUCCCCACAUUUUGGGAGGCCAAGGUAGGAGGAUAGCUUGAGGCCAGGAGUUCGAGACCAGCCUGGGCAACAUGGCAAGACUCCAUCUCAACAAAAAAUUAGCCAGAUGUGGUGGCACACGUCUGUACUCCCAGCUACUCAGGAGGCUGAGGUGGAAGGAUCUCUUGAACCCAGGAGUUCAAAGCUGCAGGAGCUACAAUGACACCACCGAACUCCAGCCUGGGCAACAGAUCAAGACCCUGUCUCUACAAAAUAAACAAAAUAAAAAUAAAGUGAGGUGGGAACAAUAGCAGGAAGUGCCCAUAAAACAUGUGCAAAGAUGCUUUCAGAGCUUCAAUAUCUUGGAAUCACUUUCCACAAUCCUCUGAAGCACCUUCUGCUUAAUCUUAUCUAACUCUCAAAUCAACUCCAAGAAAUGGCAUAAUUAUCUCCAUUUUAAUAGACAGGGAUCAGGAGACAGGGAGGAAGGCUGAAGUGGGCACACAAUACUAAUUUGCAGGAACAGGAUUGGAGCCCACAGUCUUCUCUCCACAACCAGAACCUGCCUUAGUAUGAGGGAUUCUUAUUAGACUAUCAGUCGUGACAGCUACCAUUACCUUAUACCAAAAGUUACACUAACCCAGAGCUUCUCCAACUUGACUGCACACAGGGAACUCCUGAGCAUCUUGUUGAAAUGCAGAUGCAGAUUCAGCAGGUCUGGGAUGGGGACUGAGAUUCUGUGUUUCUAGUAAGUACCAAAGUGAUACUGAUGCUGCUGGUUCAAAGACCACACCUUGAGUAUCAAGGUGCUAAUGCUUUAUCUCAUUUGGUUGGCACAAUAGCCAGUGAGACAGGCAUUAUUAUUAUCAUCCUUGCUUCACAGAGGACACUGAGGCUUAGAGAAAUGGAAUAAGUUCCUCACGAUCACAAUGCUAAGCAGAAGAACCAGGGUUAGGACCCAGGUCACCUGGCCAUAGUCUGCCCACUGGGCCCCAGUGCUAGACCAUCUAUCUCUCCAGCGUUUGCCUAAGAAGUCAAUGACCUGGAAUUAUGUGAGCCACACCAGGAGUGAGGUCCUGAGGAUGGGCAGGAGGGCUCAGAUGAUACAAGAGCAGAGGGCAUUAGGAAAUACAGGUUUCUUCAAGAGAAACCUUGGCCUCAGCAAGGGAGGAAACUGUAGUUUGGAAAGCAGGUGUUGCCAUAUCUAGAAGAGAGAGAUGCUGGUUCUGGAAACUUCUCUCGCUUUGAUGGGAGCGCUCUGAGCUGGGGAUGGUUAGCUUGGAAGAGAAGAAUUUUUAAGUGGACUGGCAAGAGGCCCUGGAGCCAGGAUGAGAAGGAGGAGCUCCAGCCUCGGGGACCGGCAACUGGGAGGACUUGCACUGGCUUCAGGCUCAGGGAAUGACCUCACAAGGGCCACAGAAGAAAAAAAUAUAAAUGUGAGAAAGUGAGCAGGCCUAGAAGGGGUGCAGGGAGAGGAAGACAAGAGCAAGGGUCACGCACUCAGAUGCCAACAGGUGCCAGGUAGGUGUCCAAAGUGAGUGAGGUGGGCCCGUGUCACCAGAGCUGAUUCUUCAAGUGAAGUGGGAAGUUCACACUCAACGGGAAAUCCCCCAUUUUUUCAAUGCUGCUUACCUUUUCCAAAAAAAAUCCACUUUUUUAUAUUGCCCAGUAUUUCAAAAAAUAUAUAUGUAAGAUUGUUCAGACCUAAUAAGAUAUGUCUAUGAGCAAGAUAGGCUCUUGGGUCACCAUUUUGCAACCUCUGGACCACAGCCAGCACAGGCUGGAUUUGGUGGGAAGGGGGAGUUUGUGGGAGUCCUGAGAGAGGAAGGGGACAGGUUUGAGGGACAGCAGCCAUGCAUGAUAGAUAUGAGAGAGAGAGAGAGAGAGAGAGAGAUGAUAGCAAAAAUUAGGGUUUUGCUGGCUGUGCGCAGUGGCUCACGUCUAUAAUCCCAGCACUUUGGGAGGCCAAGGCAGGAGGAUCACUUGAGGUCAAGAGCUCGAGAACAGCCUGGCCAACAUGGCAAAGCCCCAUCUGUACUGAAAAUACAAAAACUAGCCAGGCGUACUGGCACACAACUGUGAUCCCAGCUACUCAGGAGGCUGAGGCAAGAGAAUCACUUGAACCCAGGAGGCAGAGGCUGCAGUGAGCCAAGAUUGUGCCACUGCACUCCAGCCUGGGCAACAGAGCAAGACUCUGAAGACUCCAUCUAAAAAAUAAAAAUAAAAAAGAUGCAAUGCUGCUUCUUAUAAACAGAAACAGAAUCUUCUUUAGUGUUCUUCAGAAGACUUUGAUAAACAUUCCAGGGAUUUCUCCAUGUUUUGGCUCCCAGACUAGUGUGUCUUUUACUGUGACAACGAGCAGAGACUGAAAUGCAGCUGCUCACUCUUAUAUGGGUUCCACAAGAAGGCCAAACCACAGGAGGCUGCAGCCCAGAGGGACCACAAGCUUGCAGUGGAGGCAUUCCCAGGGCACCAAGAAGCAUGUCAGGACCCUGAGCCACCAAAGACCCACAGACACCAAGGGGAAAGGCCAUUAGGACAGAUUCCCAGUGACGGCUGCCCCCAGGCGGGGCAAGCAGGCUCCUCUUUGCAGGUACAGAUCUAAAGCAAAGGAUCUGAGCAGACAGAGUGGCAGGUAUAGGUGGGAAAUUCACCUUAUGGAUAGACAUGCAGGAGGAGGAAGAGGAGGAGAAGAGGGAGAAGGAGCAAGAAGAGGAAGAGCAGAAGGAGGAAGGAGAGCUAAGCGUUGUUGAGCACCAAGCACUACUUGCAUUGUUUCGUUGAAUCACCAUAACGUUUUUAGCACUUGAUCUUAUCCCCACUUUGCAGAUAAGGAAACUAAGUCUUGAGAAGAUAAAAUGGUUUAAAGGCACCUGCUGGAAGUGGCAGAAUAGGACUGUGAUUCCAGGCCUGUCUGGAUCCAGAACCCAGGCUCUUAACCAUUUAUGCGACAGAGGCCCUCAGCCCCUCCCCACCACGUAGAGCCACCUGCACAUCAGGCCACAGACUUGGCGCCCGACGUGCAGGUGGCUAUACUUGGGGGAGAGGGGCUGAGGGCCUAUGUCUCAUAAAUGUUCAUAUGACAAAACUGAGGCCACCAUAACCAGUUUUACUCUAAGCUGCCAGGCCCACCAAGUAGGGCCUAUAACAGCCAAGCACUGAAAAGACCCUGUAGCCUCUGUUAGGUAAGGGCUAGAGUUUGGGGCCCUCUCCUGGUACAGGACUAGGGUGCUUCCCAUACAUGAUGCCCCCAGGGACCUCUUUCCCACAAAGAACAAAACCAUAAAGCUCCAGACAGCCCAGGGGCCUCUUUCACGUGGCCAGGAAAUGCUGGAGAAAAACCCUCACUAGGUCCUCCCAGUCCCCAUCUGUCCUUGUCCCCGGCUCCCACUGUGCCUAUUCCCAGGCUACUGGGCUGCUUGAGCCCACACUGCCUGUAGCCACCCGCCUAGGAGCAUUAAUUGAAAAUUAAUCCGCUCGGUACGUGCCGGCGUGCAAAUCAAAGCUAAGUGUCUCAAUUAGGAAGAGAAAUGGAGUCGGGCACUCUUCUCAGAUGCUGGCUUAUUUAUGGGGAUAAUAUCAUUUUUAAUGAGGGAAGCUACUAAAAGGCACAACAAAUGCAACAUUUAAUAGAAAAAUAUUACAGCAUUCCAUCAGCAGAACACAGCCAGGAGAGUGGGUUCCAGGGAUGCAGGAGCACGCGGGUGUCUCUAUGGUUGUCCAAGCACCUUGUACAAGCAUGUGUGUGCACACGUGUCCCCAUGAGCCCUCGUGUCUGCAUGCACACUGUACACGGACGGCUGCAUGCAUCUCCUUCUCUGGAUAUGUGUGUAUGUGAAUAUUAGUGUCUGGGUCUGGUGUUUGGGGAGUAGUGAAGCUUUCCGCUGUUUUUGCUGCAAAAGAUGAAUUUCCCAUCUGCCGCCUAAAGAACUGUCAUUCUGGGCCCUGGGCCAGCCAAAUAAAAAUCUAAGGUAUUUCCCAAUACUAAGGAGUCCCGGUCCAUUUGGUCCCUGGAGAAGUGCAGGUCUCUGGCACCAGUCUCCAUGGAGGGUCUUCAUGUGCAAAUCAGACCCCUGGGCCCCAGCCUCCUCCACACUCCUCUUGCCACACAUGGGCUAUGGUUGUCUCGGCCCAGCACAUCGCUAACAACUGCAGGACAAGGCCCUCUUGUCAUCAUCCCACUGCCCCAAGCUGGCACUUGGGCUAGCUACCUGCUUUACCCUUGGUCUCAGCUUCAAAAGUCAAGGACUUUACUUCCCAGGCCAAGUCCACGUUCCUGGGCCUAUUUUCCCAUUCCUCCGCCUAGGUGCGGCACAUCCGUAGACCCGGGCUCUGCAGCUCCAACUCAGGAUGGUCUCGGCUCCAGCAACUGUGGAAUGGAGAAGUGAUUCCAUUGGGGUGGCCAGCUCAGAAUCUACACCGGCCUCACCCUAGCCCAUCAGAGAACACUUUUCCAGCCCGCAACACAGCAUCCACAUGUCCGUGCCUUUGCUCCCGUGGGACCCCUACUAGAAAGCACGUCCCAUAUCCUGCCUUCACUCCCAUGCUCAGAGCAGCACCUCACUAACCCAGCACUCCCCAAGGAAGCUUAGGUGACCACCUCACCGUCCUCAGACUCCUCCCGAGACCCUGGUGCCAUGCCUCACCCAUGGGAAUAAUAACAGGGCCUGCCUCACUAAGUGUGCUUGGUGCAUCUGCAUCAGCACAGGGCAUGGCCCAGAGUGGCUCACUGUUAGGACUAGUUUGACCGCGAUUAUGACCAGGUUAUAAUAUCCACCUCUGUUACCUCUUCCCACCCCAUACAAACCCUGGGAGGCACAGAAUGAGGAUUUUUCUCUACGUUUCUCCAAACCUUUUUGAAGGAACCUGAAGCUCAGAGAGAUUGAGACAUUUGCCAGAGGCUGCACAGCAGAUCUCAUUUUGAAUGAGGAGUAACAUCAAAAGAUUUGCAGAGGUUCCCCAGGGCACCAGAUCCCAAGUGUCCUGUACUCAAAACCCGGGCUCUCCCAUCACAGAAGAGGCUGGGGACUCUAAGCCAGGGACUCAGGUGUCACCAGGUUCUGUCUCCCAUCAGCUGGGUGACUCUGGACUUGUUACUUACCCUCUGUGUGUCAGUUUUUUCAUUGAUAAAAUGAAACAGGUGAUAACAGCACCUACUUCAUGGGGAUUUCUUUGUCAGGGUUAAAUGAGCUAAUACUCACAAAGCACUUAGAAUCAAGCCUGGCAUAUGAUAAAUGUUCAGUACGUAUUGAGAUGUCAUUACUAAUAUUAGGCCACCGUACCCCCAGAUCAUUCUCUCCCUGGCCAGGUAGCAAGAAUCAUCCAUCAAACAGUCUGUGAAGGUCCCCAAGGCAGGGCCUUCCCCUCCGUCAAAUCCCCAGCAUGGGAGCCAGUGUUACAUUCCUUAACCCGGAGAGUGCGUAUUCAUACAACGGUCAUCAGUCAUUGAGCUGUGGGCUUAUGUUGUACGCACUUUAUGUUUGUGCAUUUUACUUGAAUUUUUUAAGCAAAUAACAAUAAUCGUCAGGUAAACCAAGUGGAGGUCGGGGUGCAGUGCUCGGCAGAGCACUCACUGGGCAGUGGUAUUGGUGGCUACUGAUUUCAUGUCUGCCUCCUUCACAAGACCUUAUGCACCACGUGGGCAAGGAUGACAUCUGGUUCCUUCCCUGCACUGUCCCCAGCACCUAGAAAAAUGUCUGCGCAUGGCAGCUGAUGAAUUACCAUUGAAAGUGGGAGGGAGUUGAUGGGUACCGAGGCACGAAUGGAGAGGAGAAGAUAUCACACCUUCAGAGUGGCCACCUUGCUGCCCCCAUAGCUGGGGAGAGGUGGGCUCUUUGCUAAGUGGAGAUCUGAGUCCUUGAACCCUCAGUCUCAGGAGUGGAGACCCCCCAGCCCAGACCAAGAGCCUGAUUGGAGGCUCCCCCUCCCUCUCAGACCCCAGUACCUCCAGAUUGACGACAUUUGAAAGUUAUCUUCCUACAAAAGUCACUCUCC